rnacentral:rRNA from 1 species
GUAGUCUCGCACAGAUGCAUAUCAAUAAGCGGAGGAAAAGAAACUAACAAGGAUUCCCUUAGUAACGGCGAGUGAAGCGGGAAGAGCUCAAAUUUGAAAUCUUCAAGGCUUUACCUUGACGAAUUGUAGUUUAAAGAAGUGUUUUCUGCUGAAGUUUUGGUAAAAGUUCUUUGGAAUAGGACAUCAUAGAGGGUGAGAAUCCCGUAUUUGACCAUUAUUUUCAGCUUUGUGAUACACUUUCAAAGAGUCGGAUUGUUUGGGAAUGCAGUCCAAAAUGGGUGGUAAAUUUCAUCUAAAGCUAAAUAUUGGCGAGAGACCGAUAGCGAACAAGUACCGUGAGGGAAAGAUGAAAAGAACUUUGAAAAGAGAGUUAAACAGUACGUGAAAUUGUCAAAAGGGAAGCGUUUGACACCAGUGUUGUUUUCUCGAAAAUCAAUUAAAAAUGGCUCGAUUUUGUAUUGUUGAGACCUUAAAAGCUCACUGUACAUUUUUCGUGUCUUUUUUAAUGCACUUUUCGUUUAACAAGUCAACAUCAGUUUCCUUUUGUUGUAAAAGGGUCAUUGGAAGGUGGCUUUCUUUUCGGAGAAAGUGUUUAUAGCCUUUGGCCUCUGCUAAUCGGAGAGACUGAGGUCUGCAGCGUAGACUCUUCGGGGUUAGAUACAUUUGUGCUAAGUUAUAGCUUUUUAUAGACAACUUGUUGACUAUAAUUAGUCUUGUAGCUUACUCGCUUAUGCUAUUUUACCUACGCUUAGGAUGUUGAGUCGUAGAGCACGCAG